GCCUGGCUGGCUCAGUCGGUAGAGCACGCGACCCCUGAUCUCAGGGUCGUGAGUUCGAGCCCCACGUUGGGCC
rnacentral:tRNA from 1 species